GAUGAACGCUGGCGGCGUGCCUAAUACAUGCAAGUCGAGCGAACAGACGAGGAGCUUGCUCCUCUGACGUUAGCGGCGGACGGGUGAGUAACACGUGGAUAACCUACCUAUAAGACUGGGAUAACUUCGGGAAACAGGAGCUAAUACCGGAUAAUAUAUUGAACCGCAUGGUUCAAUAGUGAAAGACGGUUUUGCUGUCACUUAUAGAUGGAUCCGCGCCGCAUUAGCUAGUUGGUAAGGUAACGGCUUACCAAGGCAACGAUGCGUAGCCGACCUGAGAGGGUGAUCGGCCACACGGGACCUGAGACACGGUCCAGACUCCUACGGGAGGCAGCAGUAGGGAAUCUUCCGCAUGGGGCGAAAGCCUGACGGAGCAACGCCGCGUGAGUGAGGAAGGUCUUCGGAUCGUAAAACUCUGUUAUUAGGGAAGAAGAAAUGUUUAAGUAACUAUGCACGUCUUGACGGUACCGAAACAGAAAGCCACGGCUAACUACGUG
rnacentral:rRNA from 1 species